rnacentral:rRNA from 1 species
GCCUAUGGCCAAAUCACCCUGAAUAACCGUAAUCUCAUCAGAUCUCAGAAUUUUAAGCAAACUUGAGUCUCCUUCGUACAUUGGUGGGAGACUGCCUGGGAAUAAGAGGUGAUGUAGGGG